GCCUAGUUAGCUUAGUUGGUAGUGCGUCUGCCUUGUAAGCACUAGGCUGUGGGUUCAAUUCCUGCCCGGGGUG
rnacentral:tRNA from 1 species